AGUGAACGCUGGCGGUAGGCCUAACACAUGCAAGUCGAACGGCAGCACAGGAGAGCUUGCUCUCUGGGUGGCGAGUGGCGGACGGGUGAGGAAUACAUCGGAAUCUACUCUGUCGUGGGGGAUAACGUAGGGAAACUUACGCUAAUACCGCAUACGACCUACGGGUGAAAGCAGGGGAGCUUCGGGCCUUGCGCGAUUGAAUGAGUCGAUGUCGGAUUAGCUAGUUGGCGGGGUAAAGGCCCACCAAGGCGACGAGCCGUAGCUGGUCUGAGAGGAUGAUCAGCCACACUGGAGCUGAGACACGGUCCAGACUCCUACGGGAGGCAGCAGUGGGGAAUAUUGGACAAUGGGCGCAAGCCUGAUCCAGCCAUACCGCGUGGGUGAAGAAGGCCUUCGGGUUGUAAAGCCCUUUUGUUGGGAAAGAAAUCCAGCUGGCUAAUACCCGGUUGGGAUGACGGUACCCAAAGAAUAAGCACCGGCUAACUUCGUGCCAGCAGCCGCGGUAA
rnacentral:rRNA from 1 species